GGUAUCGUUGCUUCUAGUUUUCGACGCACUUGCAGUCUGAGGACCUCAGGAGCUGGGGGUAAGAGGCACAAAGGCCCUUGUGGGUGUGGAAGAGAAAUCAAGAGGGUAAAGUAGGUCACUCCACGCCCAACGAUUCCCUCCCCACAUCCCACAGAAACUCCAUCCCUGUGCCAGGAGCUGCCUGGAAUGAUGGAGGCUCAGCUGCCUGGUUCUUCGCGGGAGACUCCAUCAUCAUCAUUAUCAUCAUCAUCUUUGAAUGCCUUUUCCACUGGCUUCCCCACUCCUGUUUCAUCAGGCUUUUUGAGGGAUGUGCGCUUGGCAAAAUAAUCUCUACACUGGAAACUGAGCUCUUAUUAGGAUCUAGAUUAGAAGAAAUGGGACCAGAUGAGAACACAGACAGACCGGAAACAAAGCAGACCAAUGGACAUGAGCGGCGGACAAUGAAAGCAACACAUGUAGGAGCAGCCCCUCUGCGCUCCGGCCACACUUUCUGCCUCAUGCAAAAGAAAAAAAAAAAAUCCCAGGCCCAACAAGCUUGGCCCCCAGGCUCUGGGUGGCGCUGUAAGCCGCAGCAUUGUGUGUUGCUAAUGGGGGGUUUGCCCCCAUCCUCAUCUCCAAAGCGGCAUUGGUUUCUGCCAAAAGGGGCACCCGCGGUUAAUGGCACAAUCUCCCACCACCCCUGCAGUGUAAGCACUGAGUCCCGAACCCUGGAAACUGCAUUUCGAGAGACUCUGAUGGCCACCGACGUAAAGAUAGGGACGAGCCAUGGGUGAAGCAGAGCCUUGUCAGACCCCUGCCCCCUCCAGCCGUGACUGAGCACAUUCUGCUGCCACAGCCGCCAACAAGGUCGGAAUCGGGUGCAAGCGGCGAACCAGUCCCUUCUUCCCCCCAGACCCAGGCUGCAGCUGGGACGAUCAUACGAAGGUGGCGUGAGGAACGCCCUCUCCCUCCCCAAAUCAGCCUCUUCAGAUCGGGUCGCUCCCAGCUGCAGGGGUUGUCUCGCGGGAGCCAGGCUGACUCUGGAAAGGUGGCUGUCUGGGGUUUGGCAGAGGAGGCAUCCUCCCCCUUCAGACGGCAGGAAUGGUCUUCUCGUAGGGGAUGUCAUCAGCCAGACUCCACAAGUUUCCCACAGAUGACUGCUGAGGGGGGAUUUUCGGCUUCUGGGGCUGUUGAGGGGAAACUGAGGAGCAUGGGCCUUCUUGGUCUUGCUCUAACUGGCCCAUCACAGGAGCCCGUACUUGGUGAUGGAUUUGGAUCUGGAGGUCAGAGUCGGGCAGCGGAGUGGCCCAGGGAGGUCAGGAGUGUUCUGGUUUCAUGUCCAGCUUCCCUUUCAGUGGCUGAAUUUGGGCUGCUGUGUCUUGGGGAGCUCGACUCUGACAAGGAGAAACGGAAUUCCUUCUGCUAGGCUUUUUAUUGUCCAGCUUGAAUAGGGCUUUGGGGCUUAAAGGUGGCCCCUCUAGCCCAGCUCCAGGAAAGGAUGCGGAGAGCCUAUGCCACUGGCACCAGAACUGAGCAAUUCUCUUCCCGUUGGGCUAGCAGUGGGCUCCUGCCCUUCCUGGAACAACCAGUGGGAGGCUGCUGGCAACUCAGGGCAUGUGGAAGAGCCUAGGGAUGAUGGGCAAUAUUGGCAUGGCGAGGGUUUUCUUCCUGGAACUGGGAGGUUUGGAUGCUUCUCGAGCCAGAAGUAGAACUGAUGCCCUUUUGCUUGCAAAUUCCGUCUUUGCUUCAACCUCCCUCUUUCUCUUCCACAAGGCCUCUUAGUUGGCACCACAUUCUGCGGUUUCAUUAUCCCUUGAACAUCACUUGGAGGAUUAGGGGCUGUGGGGUUUGCUAGGGCAAUAUAGGGCUCCAACAUGCUGCUGCUGAGCACCUCUUCUUCCCUCCCCGGAUAAUUCAGUUCCCACCAACUAGGAAAAGUGAAAAUGGGUUUGAUUCAACUGAGGGAUUGGGUCAGCAAGAGCUUCUACGGGAGAUCCUUGCUUAUUUAGGUACAUAAUGGAGUCUGAAUUCUGACCCCUUCCUGUGACUCUUUCUCCAUCAGUGCAUUACAGGGCCGCCCCUUGUUGUCACAUGUCAAGGUGAGAUGAUUCAGCGUUAUGAUGGGAGGGGGAAGCAGGUAAGGAGGCAGCCAGAUGCUGCGGCAUUCAAGGGCACAGGACCCUGGGCACACCCAGAGGAGGUGUCCUUGGGAGAAGAGAAAGUCAUAAUGUCAAGUGAGUUUUGUAACUCAAAGACAAAGUGGCCCGCUGGGAAGGCUUGAAGUAGGGCCGAGACGUCUUUAAGCUGCCCAGCCCGGAUCCCUCGGUACCUUUGAGUAGUAGCGACAGGAAUCUCAAGCUCCUUGGGACUCAGCCAAACCACCAGCCUCCGAAGCCAGCUCCUCCUUAAUACAAUUUGUACAAGGAACAGACUGUAAGAUUGGGCUAUCUUCCAGCACAGCUGACUGAGGAGGUGCCAUGGGUUACCAAAAGGGUGCUCUGAAAGGUGUUUGCAGCAGAACAGGUGGUAACAGUGUAGCCUUGAGCAGAUUUUUUUGUUCCUUCGCGUCUUCUCCCUUUUCUUCUAGUCAACUGGUAAAUAUCAAGCUGCUCAGAACGUUGGACAUGUGAAAACCAAAGCGCCCUCUUGUCUUCAAGGAACAGACAUCUUUCCACCCUUUCUCCAGAACGAGCCUCUGCCCCCAGUCGACUCCAGUUGGUUUUGAGUUUUGCCGAGCUCAAUGCAUAGAUCAAAUUGGAAUUUUCCAGGCUUGGGCAAUGCUCUGGCAGGUGGAGUUCAAAAAGUUCCAUCUCUUGGAGUCCAUGUUCUUGUUAGAUUGGGGGGGGCGGUGAGGGGAAGAGUUUGACAUAGCCCUGACUCGCAGGAUACUUGAUUGCCACUGCUGUGAAGUCAGAGCCCUGGCACACCUUAUUGUUCCUAAAUAUGACUGGGGAAAUCUGGUAGCUCAUUAAAGACGACCAGGUUCCGAUCUCUAAAGCUGGCAAAUACACCUGCAUACAUGCAUACAACCCUCCCCGCCCAGCACGCGUGCACGCGCGCGCGCACACACACACACACACACACACACACACACACACACCCCUUUUCUCUGGCCCCUGCUCCUAACUUUACUUGAAUGGAGAUUAUACAGGUAAAUGACGCUCCACUCCCAGGCAUGCUGAAGAUAGCCUCAACUUUCGACAUGCUUGGGAAGAUUCUGCCAGGACCCACCUCACUGGGGACAUGCUGUCUUAGGCACACCAAAGCAGCUAGGCUUCAGACCAGGACGCUGCUACAAGCAUGCUCAUGCCGACACAGGAAGCUCAUGUGAAGCCAGAUAAAAUCAGUCACUUAAUCACUGGCCUUUGUUCAGAUAACAAGUGCCUCUGGAUUAGUUUCUUAUCCCUGACAGGUUCCCUUCAGAAAAAUUCCCAAGCCCGUGCGCCCCCCACCCCACAAGCCCCCUCACAAGGGAUGCAAGUAGGGAGCAAUUUACAGGUUCAUUUGGGAAUUCCUCCUUCUUGGAGUAACAAGCCCAUGUUCUGUCGAAACUCUCAUACGAACUCUGAGUCCACGCUUUUAUGUAAAAUCAGAAACUCUGAACUAUGAAGCUGGGGGCAAAGUAAGUUCUCAUGGGACUCAGACUUAGCCACUACUCUUUUCCAUUUGUUCAGUUACCACAAUUAUCCUAGCUCCACAAUGUGCGAAUAAAGGCAAAGUUGGGCACCAGCUCCAGCCAGGGGAAAUCCUGAGAAAAGGCUAGAGAUAACAAUAUUUCCUCCCUUUCUCUCAUGUGAUUUUAUUUCUAGAAAAACUUCUGCCUCAGUCCUGGUUUCACUUGAAGUUCGCCAUUUGCCUUUGGUGAUGCUAUUUCUCAGAACUGCCCCCUUAGAGAAGCAGCAUUGUCUAGUGGAUAGAGCCACAGUCCUGGGAGUCAGAAGGUCAUG